rnacentral:rRNA from 1 species
UAAUACAUGCAAGACGAGCGAAGGGACUGAGAGCUUGCUCUCAAGAAGNUAGCGGCGGACGGGUGAGUAACACGUGGGUAUCCUGCCCAUAAGACUGGGAUAACUCCGGGAAACCGGGCUAAUACCGGAUAACAUUUUGAACUGCAUGGUUCGAAAUUGAAAGGCGGCUUCGGCUGUCACUUAUGGAUGGACCCGCGUCGCAUUAGCUAGUUGGUGAGGUAACGGCUCACCAUGGCAACGAUGCGUAGCCGACCUGAGAGGGUGAUCGGCCACACUGGGACUGAGACACG